rnacentral:rRNA from 1 species
GACGAACGCUGGCGGCGUGCUUAACACAUGCAAGUCGAACGGUGAACGAGGGAGCUUGCUCCCUCCGGAUCAGUGGCGAACGGGUGAGUAACACGUGAGCAAUCUGCCCCGAACUCUGGGAUAAGCGUUGGAAACGACGUCUAAUACCGGAUACGACGCGGGAGGGCAUCCUCUCCGCGUGGAAAGAACUUCGGUUCGGGAUGAGCUCGCGGCCUAUCAGCUUGUUGGUGAGGUAACGGCUCACCAAGGCGACGACGGGUAGCCGGCCUGAGAGGGUGACCGGCCACACUGGGACUGAGACACGGCCCAGACUCCUACGGGAGGCAGCAGUGGGGAAUAUUGCACAAUGGGCGCAAGCCUGAUGCAGCAACGCCGCGUGAGGGACGACGGCCUUCGGGUUGUAAACCUCUUUUAGCAGGGAAGAAGCGAAAGUAACGGUACCUGCAGAAAAAGCACCGGCUAACUACGU